UACAGAGGGUGCAAGCGUUAAUCGGAAUUACUGGGCGUAAAGCGUGCGUAGCCGGUUACGUAAGUCAGAUGUGAAAGCCCCGGGCUCAACCUGGGAAUGGCAUUUGAGACUGCGUAGCUAGGGUGCGGAAGAGGGAAGCGGAAUUUCCGGUGUAGCGGUGAAAUGCGUAGAUAUCGGAAGGAACACCAGUGGCGAAAGCGGCUUCCUGGUCCAGCACCGACGUUCAGGCACGAAAGCGUGGGGAGCAAACAGG
rnacentral:rRNA from 1 species